GGGAAAUUGUGUUGGAGCCAGCACGGGGCUGAGAGUUUGGAGGCUUAUUGCCACAGGACUUUUCCUUAUCUGCUUUGGAGCUUGUCAUAAGUGUCUGGAGCUCUAAGUCAGACCUAGUGAGCAGGGUUGCCACCAUCAGGCUUCCAGUCACAGGUGAGGUGGGCCCUUGCCCUGUUAUUGGAUACCGGAAAUAUUUGGCUUUUCGUUCCCCUGGGGGCUGGCUCAAUCCUAGUGCACAGAAAUGGGUUCCGGUUCGACAGGCAUCUAAUUGCUCACGUCGUGCGCCAGUUAUUGCAGCCUGCGGCUUGCCUACCGCUGAACACGCCUCAUUCCUUCCAAAUAGGUGCUGCUGCAAAGGCUGCGCAUUGGGGCCUGUUAGUAGACAGGAUUGUGAAUACGGGUCAUUGGAAGUCUGACGCUGACAAAGGUUAUGUCAGGAAGCAUCGCCAAUGAUGCCUGUGCUGAUGCCUGUCUGUUAUUCCUUUUUCAUAGGAGCAGCUGUGCGCAUUUGGAUUGUCGGCCACAGCAUCAUGCACUGAGCUGGCAAGCACCCUGACGAGUCUGGACUGGGGGCGCCAUCUCGGCCUUCCUGCCCAUGUUUCUAGCUCCAGUCCGCAUCUGGAUUGUGGGGCACAGCAUCGUUUACUGGGCUGGCAUCAGAGCUAGGCAGUCUGGAAGGGGACUGGGUCUUGGCCUCCCGCAGCAUGUGCAGGUGUUGUGGAUGUCCAGGCGCAGAAUGCAGUGGAGCGAAUUCAUCCCGCUAAUUAAGCAGAGGGUGCUUCGGAUGGCCCCCAUGGCAAUUGUGGUUCAGCUGGGGGAACGAUGUGGCAACUUAUGAUUGCUUUACUUUGCGCUCCACGAUUCAGAGAGACUUGGGUGAAUUGGUGACCUUAAUACCCACAGUUAAAAUAUUUUGGUCACAAUUGCUGCAAAGGCGCAAUUGGCACGGCAUUUCUCGACCUGAGGCUGCUGAAAGGGCCAGGAAGCGCAUUAAUUCUGCAGUGUGUAAGAAGGUGGCGGAUUUGGGUGGAUUGGUUAUUUCCCGCCCGGAUAUUACCUUCAAGGCUCUGGCCCUUUACCGCAAUGAUGGAGUACAUCUCUCUGUACUGGGGAAUGAUGUUUGGUUGGAUGCGGUAACUGCAAGGUUGAAGGUUGGGUUGGGAUUGUGAGUGGUUGGCGGCGAGCGUAAAGGGCUCGAUUGGCGGUUAGGCAUUGGUUAUAAAUUGGUGGAGGAGGGGUUAGGAUAGGCUGGGCCUGCCCCUCCAUGGUUGCUGCGGAAAGGGAAUUCCGUUAAAGGAAUCCUGGGGCUUGCCAUCUUUUCGUCCAAUCCCUGGAAUGGGACUAGGGCCGGCAAGCCUUCGGGAGCAUGCGGAUGAGAAUUGAGGGUCUGUGGCCCAGCUCCAUUUUUCUCCGACUUGCUUUCCCCCGCACUGUCUUUCGGUGGUGCCCGGAAGUCAGUUCUGUCCCCAGGCGGGGGACAGAUAGUCUUAACCAAUGCCUAAACAACCACUCACGGUUUUGUAUUUAAAUAAAGUUGUGGCCAAAAUUAUGCCAAAAACCUUAAACAAAAAUUAAGUGUGCGUUGUGAGUUAUUUGGGGGGUGGCUUGGGGACCUCGACACGCAAAGCGUGUUCUCCUUCAUGGAGAGCACGUGUUGCGGUGGGGUCUGCUGAGCCACCCCUCUGUUACCAGGCAGGGUCUCUAAAGAUGGCCUGGGGCAGUGAUUGGUUCACUGGGUUGCUGGGGUAAAAGUUAUGUUGCAAUUUUGGUGGGAGGGUAAAAUGUUUAAAUACUCUGCACGCAGCCUGGAGCUUUCUCUUUGCUGCGUGCAACGGAUCACCCGCCCACCCGCCCUUGAGUAAGGGGUUGUUGCAUUGACCUUGCUAUGCCUGUCAUGGGGUCGUCUGCCGUUGGGGCAGGGGCCUGGUAGGAAUUUUGUCCAUCUGGCUGAUUGGCUGGGCCAUUUGGUUUUUGCCUACUGCGUAGCAAAUCGUCACAACUUGUAAGGUUGUGGUUAGGCAUUGGUUAUAAAUUGGUGGAGGAGGGGUUAGGAUAGGCUGGGCCUGCCCCUCCAUGGUUGCUGCGGAAAGGGAAUUCCGUUAAAGGAAUCCUGGGGCUUGCCAUCUUUUCGUCCAAUCCCUGGAAUGGGACUAGGGCCGGCAAGCCUUCGGGGAGCAUGCGGAUGAGAAUUGAGGGUCUGUGGCCCAGCUCCAUUUUCUCCGACUUGCUUUCCCCCGCACUGUCUUUCGGUGGUGCCCGGAAGUCAGUUCUGUCCCCCGGCGGGGGGACAGAUAGUCGUACCCAAUGCCUAAACAACCACUCACGGUUUUGUAUUUAAAUAAAGUUGUGGCCAAAAUUAUGCCAAAAACCUUAAACAAAAAUUAAGUGUGCGUUGUGAGUUAUUUGGGGGGUGGCUUGGGGACCUCGACACGCAA
rnacentral:lncRNA from 1 species